rnacentral:rRNA from 1 species
GACGAACGCUGGCGGCGUGCCUAAUACAUGCAAGUAGAACGCACAGUUUAUACCGUAGCUUGCUACACCAUAAACUGUGAGUUGCGAACGGGUGAGUAACGCGUAGGUAACCUGCCUGGUAGCGGGGGAUAACUAUUGGAAACGAUAGCUAAUACCGCAUAAUAUUAAUUAUUGCAUGAUAAUUGAUUGAAAGAUGCAAUUGCAUCACUACCAGAUGGACCUGCGUUGUAAUAGCUAGUAGGUGAGGUAACGGCUCACCUAGGCGACGAUACAUAGCCGACCUGAGAGGGGGAGCGGCCACACGGGGAGGGAGACACGGCCCAGACUCAUACGGGAGGCAGCAGUAGGGAAUCUUCGGCAAUGGACGAAAGUCUGACCGAGCAACGCCGCGUGAGUGAAGAAGGUUUUCGGAUCGUAAAGCUAUGUUGUAAGAGAAGAACGGGUGUGAGAGUGGAAAGUUCACACUGUGACGGGAUCUUAACAGAAAGGGACGGCUAACUACGUG